rnacentral:rRNA from 1 species
UGGGGAAUUUUGGACAAUGGCGCAAGCCUGAUCCAGCCAUGCCGCGUGCGGGAAGAAGGCCUUCGGGUUGUAAACCGCUUUUGUCAGGGAAGAAAUCUUCUGAGUUAAUACCUCGGGAGGAUGACGGUACCUGAAGAAUAAGCACCGGCUAACUACGUGCCAGCAGCCGCGGUAAUACGUAGGGUGCAAGCGUUAAUCGGAAUUACUGGGCGUAAAGCGUGCGCAGGCGGUUUUGUAAGACAGAGGUGAAAUCCCCGGGCUCAACCUGGGAACUGCCUUUGUGACUGCAAGGCUUGAGUGCGGCAGAGGGGGGAAUGGAAUUCCGCGUGUAGCAGUGAAAAUGCGUAGAUAUGCGGAGGAAACACCGAUGGCGAAAGGCAAAUCCCCUGGGCCUGCACUGACGCUCAUGCACGAAAAGCGUGGGGAGCAAAACAGGAUUAGAUACCCUGGUAGUCACGCCCUAAAACGAUGUC